rnacentral:lncRNA from 1 species
UUCGCUGGCAAGCCCGAUAAAGCAAGACCAUUUUUGCAUUUGAGCAGCUUUCCAUCAGUGCCUCGCAUUGACCCAAAAAAUGAUGGAUGAGAAUUUAUUGACUGUUAUUUCAUUGUAGGACAGAGAUGGUAAACAAAAUGGGGUAGCGGUAUUGUAGAGUUGCAAAACUCCAUAAACUAAUCAGAAAUGGCGGCGAAGGUACACACACACUUAAUGGUGGUAAUACGGAGGUGGUUGGCCAGUUCCAGGGGCACCACUUGCCGGUCUCUGCUGAUUUCCAUGAUGAGCAGGUGGCAUCUGGUGUGAAGGAUGCAUCUCAUUUCCAUGAUGAGCAGGUGGCAUCUGGUGUGAAGGAUGCAUCUCAUUUCCAUGAUGAGCAGGUGGCAUCUGGUGUGAAGGAUGCAUCUCAUGAGGCGGCGGUGGCGGAGGGGCGGAGAAGCCCCCUGAUGUCGCCGUGUACUGCUGUGGUGGAGCUGAGUACAUAUGGCCUGGAUACUGGCCUGGAGCUGGUGGGUACCCUGAGUUGCCGGGAUUCCAAUUCGGCACUUGUCCGUUGGCGUUCUGGUUUUGAGCAGCGACA